rnacentral:rRNA from 1 species
CCGUCGUCAGCUCGUGUCGUGAGAUGUUUGGUUAAGUCCAGCAACGAGCGCAACCCCUGUUGCCAGUUACCAGCACGUGAAGGUGGGGACUCUGGCGAGACUGCCCAGAUCAACUGGGAGGAAGGUGGGGACGACGUCAGGUCAGUAUGGCCCUUAUGCCCAGGGCUGCACACGUACUACAAUGCCCAGUACAGAGGGGGCCGAAGCCGCGAGGCGGAGGAAAUCCUAAAAACUGGGCCCAGUUCGGACUGUAGGCUGCAACCCGCCUACACGAAGCCGGAAUCGCUAGUAAUGGCGCAUCAGCUACGGCGCCGUGAAUACGUUCCCGGGUCUUGUACACACCGCCCGUCACAUCAUGGAAGCCGGUCGCACCCGAAGUAUCUGAAGCCAACCGCAAGGAGGCAGGGUCCUAAGGUGAGACUGGUAACUGGGAUGAAGUCGUAACAAGGUAGCCGUAGGGGAACCUGCGGCUGGAUCACCUC